CGUUCUCAGGGCGGGGUGAAAGUCCCCACCGGCGGUAAUCCCCGCAGCGACGGGGGAAGCCCGCGAGCGCCCUUCACGUGAAGGGGUCAGCAGAGCCGGUGAGAAACCGGCGCCGACGGUAACAGUCCGGAUGGAAGAGAAUG
rnacentral:ncRNA from 1 species